AAUCGAACUCGGAGAUAGCUGGUUCUCCUCGAAAUAGCUUUAGGGCUAGCGUUGGGUUAAUAGUAAUGGAGGUAGAGCACUGACUGGGAUAGGGGCUGACAACAGUUGCCGAACCCUAUCAAACUCCGAAUGCCAUAUACUAAGAUACCCAGCAGUCAGACUGCGAAUGAUAAGAUCCGCGGUCAAAAGGGAAAGAGCCCAGACCACCAGCUAAGGUCCCAAAGUGUAAGUUAAGUGGUAAAGGAGGUGUGAUCUCGGAGACAACUAGGAUGUUGGCUCAGAAGCAGCCAUACAUUAAAAGAGUGCGUAAUAGCUCACUAGUCAAGAGGUCAUGCGCCGAAGAUGUCCGGGGCUAAAAUUUACCACCGAAGCUGUGGGCUUUAAGGAGCGGUAGAGGAGCAUGCUGCCAGGGCAGAAGCCGUACCGGAAGGAGCGGUGGACAUGGCAGGAGAGAGAAUGCUGGCAUAAGUAGCGAGAAAUAAGUGAGAAUCUUAUUGGUCGAAAGCCUAAGGUUUCCUGGGGAAGGUUCGUCCACCCAGGGUAAGUCGGGACCUAAGCCGAGGCCGAGAGGCGUAGGCGAUGGGGAAUCGGUUGAGAUUCCGAUACCACAGAAAUACCGGUAAAGACCUGAAGGGAUGACGCAGGAGGAAUAGAUGUGCAUACAGAUGGAGGUAUGUCCAAGCAGCGAGUGAGGGAAGGGAGGCAAAUCCCCCUUUUCAAUUGUGAGCUGUGACGGGGAAUCCGAAAGGAGAAGUAUCGAACAUCAUACUGCCGAGAAAAGUCUCUAAGGAGGUAAGAAGUGCCCGUACCGCAAACCGACACAGGUAGGUGAGGAGAGGAUCCUGAGACCAGCGGAAGAAUUGUUGUCAAGGAACUCGGCAAAUUGACUCCGUAACUUCGGGAGAAGGAGUGCCCCGAAAGGGGCCGCAGAGAAGAGGCUCAAGCAACUGUUUAUCAAAAACACAGGUUUCUGCUAAAGCGAAAGCUGAAGUAUAGGAGCUGACGCCUGCCCGGUGCUGGAAGGUUAAGGGGAAGACUAAAUAGAGAUAUGAAGGUCAGAACUUAAGCCCCAGUAAACGGCGGCCGUAACUAUAACGGUCCUAAGGUAGCGAAAUUCCUUGUCGGGUAAGUUCCGACCCGCACGAAUGGCGUAAUGAUUUGAGCACUGUCUCGACAACAAAUCCGGCGAAAUUGUAGUGCAAGUGAAGAUGCUUGCUACCCGCGAUUGGACGGAAAGACCCCGUAGAGCUUUACUGUAGCUUAACACUGAAUUUUGGUAUUGUCUGUACAGGAUAGGUGGGAGGUGUAGAAGCAGGGGCGCCAGCCUCUGUGGAGCCGCAGGUGGGAUACCACCCCGACAGUACCGGGAUUCUAACCGGGUGCCAUGAAACUGGUGACGGGACAAUGUUAGGUGGGCAGUUUGACUGGGGCGGUCGCCUCCGAAAGAGUAACGGAGGCGUACAAAGGUUUCCUCAGGAGGGUUAGAAAUUCUCCGCAGAGUGCAAAGGCAAAAGGGAGCCUGACUGCGACACAGACAGGUGGAGCAGGGACGAAAGUCGGUCUUAGUGAUCCGGUGGUACCUCGUGGGAGGGCCAUCGCUCAACGGAUAAAAGCUACCUCGGGGAUAACAGGCUGAUCUCCCCCAAGAGUUCACAUCGACGGGGAGGUUUGGCACCUCGAUGUCGGCUCGUCGCAUCCUGGGGCUGAAGUAGGUCCCAAGGGUUGGGCUGUUCGCCCAUUAAAGCGGCACGCGAGCUGGGUUCAGAACGUCGUGAGACAGUUCGGUCCCUAUCCGUCGCGGGCGCAGGAAAUUUGAGAGGAGCUGUCCUUAGUACGAGAGGACCGGGAUGGACUGACCUCUGGUGUACCAGUUGUUCCGCCAGGAGCAUAGCUGGGUAGCUAAGUCGGGAAGGGAUAAACGCUGAAAGCAUCUAAGUGUGAAGCCCCCCUCAAGACAAGAUUUCCCACAGCGAAAGCUGGUAAGACCCCUUGA
rnacentral:rRNA from 1 species